UUUCCUUUGGCUCAGUUGGUAGAGCAUUGUGGUAGAGCAUUGUGGUAGAGCAUUGUGGUUUAAAGGUCGUAGGUUUAAAUCCCAGGGAAAG